CCUACGGGUGGCAGCAGUGGGGAAUAUUGGACAAUGGGGGGAACCCUGAUCCAGCCAUGCCGCGUGUGUGAAGAAGGCCCUCGGGUUGUAAAGCACUUUCAGUGAGGAAGAACGCCUGGUGGUUAAUACCCAUCAGGAAAGACAUCACUCACAGAGGAAGCACCGGCUAACUCCGUGCCAGCAGCCGCGGUAAUACGGAGGGUGCGAGCGUUAAUCGGAAUUACUGGGCGUAAAGCGCGCGUAGGUGGCUUGAUAAGCCGGUUGUGAAAGCCCCGGGCUCAACCGGGGAACGGCAUCCGGAACUGUCAAGCUAGAGUGCAGGAGAGGAAGGUAGAACUCCCGGUGUAGCGGUGAAAUGCGUAGAGAUCGGGAGGAAUACCAGUGGCGAAGGCGGCCUUCUGGACUGCAACUGACACUGAGGUGCGAAAGCGUGGGUAGCAAACAGGAUUAGAUACCCUUGUAGUC
rnacentral:rRNA from 1 species